rnacentral:tRNA from 1 species
GGCGGACCCGGCCAAGUGAUUAAGGGCUGGGAAUUGCGAAUCUUCCCCGCGGGGGUCG